AGUAACUGCGAGUGAAGUGGCAAAAGCUCAAAUUUGAAAUCCGGUACCUUUGGUGCCUGAGUUGUAAUUUGGAGAGACAAAUUUGGUUGACGGUGCCGGCCUAGGUUCCUUUGAACAGGACAACACAGAGGGUGAGAAUCCCGUGCCUGGCUGGCUGACCGUCACAUCUCUAAAUUGUCUUCGACGAGUCGAGUUGUUUGGGAAUGCAGCUCAAAAUGGGUGGUAAAUGUCAUCUAAAGCUAAAUAUUGGCGAGAGACCGAUAGCGCACAAGUAGAGUGAUCGAAAGAUGAAAAGCACUUUGAAAAGAGAGUCAAAAAGUACGUGAAAUUGCUGAAAGGGAAGCGCUUGAGACCAGACUCGAACCGUGGUGAUCAGCCGUGCUUCUGUGCGGUGUCACUUGCCACGGUUUGGGCCAGCAUCGGUUCUGGCGGUCGGAUAAAAGGUGGAGGAAUGUAGCUUCCUUCGGGGAGUGUUAUUAGCCCCCACCACAAUGCGGCCAGCCGGGACCGAGGACCGCGUGGGCUUCUGCUAGGAUGCUGGCGUAAUGGUCUUAAGCGACCCGUCUUGAAACACGGACCAAGGAGUCUAACAUCUAUGCGAGUGUUCGGGUGGAAAACCCUUGCGCGAAAUGAAAGUGAACGGAGGUGGGAACCCGCAAGGGUGCACCAUCGACCGAUCCCGAAGUCUUCGGAAGGAUUUGAGUAGGAGCACAGAUGUUGGGACCCGAAAGAUGGUGAACUAUGCCUGAAUAGGGUGAAGCCAGAGGAAACUCUGGUGGAGGCUCGCAGCGGUUCUGACGUGCAAAUCGAUCGUCAAAUUUGGGUAUAGGGGCGAAAG
rnacentral:rRNA from 1 species